rnacentral:ribozyme from 14 species
UGGAACAAAAAAUACUUGUUCUUUUUUUACAACAAUAUGACAUUUUUUUUUUUUUUUUUUUUUUUUCC